GACGAACGCUGGCGGCGUGCCUAAUACAUGCAAGUAGAACGCUGAAGAGAGGAGCUUACUCUUCUUGGAUGAGUUGCGAACGGGUGAGUAACGCGUAGGUAACCUGCCUUGUAGCGGGGGAUAACUAUUGGAAACGAUAGCUAAUACCGCAUAACAAUGGAUGACACAUGUCAUUUAUUUGAAAGGGGCAAUUGCCCCACUACAAGAUGGACCUGCGUUGUAUUAGCUAGUAGGUGAGGUAAUGGCUCACCUAGGCGACGAUACAUAGCCGACCUGAGAGGGUGAUCGGCCACACUGGGACUGAGACACGGCCCAGACUCCUACGGGAGGCAGCAGUAGGGAAUCUUCGGCAAUGGGGGCAACCCUGACCGAGCAACGCCGCGUGAGUGAAGAAGGUUUUCGGAUCGUAAAGCUCUGUUGUAAGUCAAGAACGGGUGCGAGAGUGGAAAGUUCACACUGUGACGGUAGCUUACCAGAAAGGGACGGCUAACUACGUG
rnacentral:rRNA from 1 species